AUCCCACCCUUGCCCUCUCGCACAGAGUCCAAAAGACUAUUCAAUACAUCUGUGUCUCUCUUGCUAGGAAGAAACUUAGACUACCUGCUUUAUUAACCUUGAUCAGCUUCUUGUAACUUGUAAUUAAAUGCAUUAUAGAAAUAAGACUCAAACCCACAUAUGUUUACUUUCGACCCCAUGCAUCACAUAAACCUUCACAUGAAGUACAUCACAUAAAUCACACUGCACCUGGCCAAUAACAGUUUUAUUAAACUGAUUCCUUUUUUGUCUAUAAAAGAAGGAUAUUUGCUUAUCUUAGCCACCCUCAAUGUUUUUAAUAAUCACUGAGUUCACCACACAUAAUCUUUUUUUUAAUAUUCUGUAUUCCUGAUUGCAAAAAUAACUGUGACUCUGUUAUGCUUUGAACCUAAUUUCAGUGCUGUUAAUUAAAACAUACCUGUAUACAUCUCAAAAAUAUCAAUCAUGACACUAUCACAGAGAGCUUGAUUUUGAAAAAUAACUUAAAAUAUAAUUGAUAAUUAACAAAGGACAUAGAGAAGGUUUGAACCAAACAUAUGUGGCUAAAAGCUGGCCCAGAGUCAUCGUAAAUGGAUUUUAUCCAAAAAAGGAUGCCAAAGACCAUAGGAUCCCAACAGAGAGAGUCUGUGAAAAGAUGGCCUGCUGAUACGUAAAUCACAGUGAAGUGCAGUUGAGAGAUGCCUUCUUGAACAGAGAGAGGAAUAAAUGGUCUGAAGAACCCUACAAGGAAAUGAAACACCCUGAAAGGGAGAAAGACCAAGAGUCAGCUCUGACACCUGCCAAACCAGAGAGCAAUCCAUGAUGACCGCUCACCAAAGUACAAGCAUACAGGAGUUUUCCUAAGCACUCACAUCUCCUCUCUCCACCAUCUAAAAAUCCGGUUUGGUCAGAAACAGUGCUAAUUAGCAUUUGAGAAGGGGAAGAAGACAAGUUGGGAAAAUAGAGGAGUAUCUACCCAAGUCAUACUGUAUACUACAGGGCUGCCUUCUGUUGCAUGGCUGAUUAGGUGAGUGCAGAAGCUUUAAUUUUGAAUGAAGUUUGGAAUCUUUAUUAUUACUCUAGCUGUAUUUACCAAUCUCUAAGCUGAAAAUGAUUAAAGUAUCAGGUGGAUUUUUAUUUUUUUUUUAGUUAAGAGAGCUGUGGGGAACCAACCAAAAUUUUAUCCAGGGGAGGGAGAAGGUUUACAUUAUAGAGCAUACUUCCAGGAACAUUUUGAGAGAAAACAAAAUUACUUAAUUAUCUCAUAAUUUAAAAAUUCUUGUUUGGAUAUUCUCUUAAUUGUAUUUUUAUAUAUUCUUUCUUCCUGUAUGCUUUAUAGCUUUAACUAUAAGCAAAUAUGUAUAAAGUCUUCAUAUGCAAGAUUUUACAUGUUUUCCUUUAUACUUGGAGAAAAUGGUAUUUUAUUUGAACCUCAACAUGUCAUGUGAUAUAUCUGACACCCUAUAUCAUACUUGGGUGUAACUGUUUAUAAAACACAAGUCAUCCCAAAUUAACAGGAUCAAGAUUAGAUUUGAAAAGAUAUAUUCAAUAAAAUGUGUAAGAUGAGACAGAAUACAUUCUAAUCAAAUUCACAGAGGACUUGAAAUGAGAUGUAAAUCUGUAAUAUGUAUUACAUUAGAUAUGAAUUAGUAUUAGAUUUGCAUUUAGAAAAAUGUCCUAUGUUCAGUUCUGAGUAUCACUUAGACAGAAUAUUAGGACAGAUAUCCUAUCUUGACUGUCUUCUCCUCCAGCCACUGCCUAAAUGCUGCUGAAAAGUCUGUACAUCUUGAUUAUCAACAUUAAAGAUACUAAAGAAGAAUGCAGCAAAUACUACAGCACAGCUGAAGAGGGAGCAGCCACCUUACCUCCAUGUUUGGACAAGCAUGAAGAACUUCCCUGUGUGGAUGAUGGAAAAAAAUGAUAGAAAGGGCCCAAAUUCCCUUCACUAAUACUUGUUGAUAUGUAAGGAAAAAUAAAAUGCUAUUACAAAGUUAA